AGCGAAGUGAAAAUCAGGUGUUAACUCAAGUUGUCCAGAGAGAAGAACAGCAAGAAAAUGAUCGCUAAGAUUGCCAUCCUCUGCGCCCUGGUAGCCGUCGCCCAUAGCGGAUUGAUUGCUGGACACGGUCUAGCAGGUGGCUCUAGUAUCAGUUCUCGCCGACAGGACGACUUUGGUAACUACGCCUUCAACUACGACAUUGUUGACCCAGUUGGAGCUACCAAUGGCCGUUGGGAGGC